GUGUGUGUGUGCUGGGGGACGCUUAGGUAGGAGGCUGCUCAAGACACCCAAAGUAUUCUGGAAGCAAGCACCCUCUGGGGCCCUGUGCUUUGUCAGAGCAGCUGGGCUAGCUGUGAGGAGGUCAGCGAAAGGAUUCAUGUCUUUCAGAACCUGAAGCAUGGUAACAGGUGAUGUGCUGAGAAGAAAAGGAACUUCACUAUCUAGAAGUCUCACCCAAUAGCAUCUUCUACCACUGAAUUUAGAGCUCUCCUGGGCCAGCAAGUAACCACUUCCACUGAAAAUCCUCAGACCUGGCCUGUUAAAGACAAUAAAAGUGAACAAAACCCUAAACUGUACCAAGAUCCACGAUGAAAACAUGACGCACAAUCAGUUUGGAGCCAAUGGCCUCUUGAAGUAUGAGAGAUCAACCUCAGUGUGUCUAGACUGUGUAAUGCCAUCUUAUCCCCAUGUAUCAGGAAUUAGCAGAAGACUCUAGUGAAUAAUCUCCUUGUUGUAGGCAAAGAUACUUGUCCCCUGAGAUGACCCAUGAUGAACAGGGAUAUGAUAUCCAUGGACAUCUUGGCCUACUUGAUUAUUUUUUAAAUGUUGUAUCAUUGUGUAUUGACUAUUUAUCAUGGCUAAGGUUAGAGAACAGAGAAGAGAAGGCAAGGGCAUGGCAGGAACUGAGAAAUUAUGCUUUAACAAGGGAAAGUCAAAUGGUCUCCUUUUUUAGGAAAGCAUCCUAGUAUGCUCCCCUGCCAUCCUACUCCUUCUGACUCUGACUACCCCGUAAUGUUUAUUGUCACCACUAACAAUGUAUGUCUCUAGGGUCUGGCAGACCUCAAGAAAACAGUGAAAAUUCCAAUAUCAAUUACUCACAAAUAAAUGGGUUUUGAUGGAAUCACGAA
rnacentral:lncRNA from 1 species